UUUAACACAGAUGUAAGGUGGAGAGUGCU
rnacentral:piRNA from 1 species